AUUGCGCGUUGCCAUGUGAACUGCAGGACACAUGAACAUUGACAAUUCGAACGCACAUUGCGGCCCUAG
rnacentral:rRNA from 2 species